rnacentral:tRNA from 1 species
GCUAGCGUGGCAGAGCUCGGCAAAUGCAAAAGGCUUAAGUCCUUUCCCCAGAGGUUCAAGUCCUCUCCCUAGCU